UCGUGACGUAGACUGCAGGCCGAGAUGGCGAGCCAGGAGGAGAGCGUGGAGGACAAUAGGGGAAGGAAAAACGAUGCUGAUUACACUAACCAUGUGCAUGCCAUCGCCCAAAUGUGCAAGAGGAAUGGAUUUCAUACUGGUUACCAUCGUGGCGAAAAGGCAACGAAAUCGGUGGAAUGUAACCUGGAUAAAACUGAGGAGUUAGUUCGUGUUAAUGGGGGCCUCUCAAAACUCACAAAACCUUCCAUACCAACACUUCGAUCUCGCGUACGAAGAAAUUGUAUAGCUCUUGAAGGGAAGAGAAAAAGGAGGCAAUCUCAGGCUGAUAAAACAGAAGAAACUAUAGAGAAAGUCAUAAAUGGUCCCCCCACCCCAGACAGCUGUGAUAUAGAUGUACCAAUCAAACUGUUAACGAGCGAUAACCAUACUCUACAAAUGAUGGUAUGUAAAUGUGGUGGCACCCCUGCCCUGGCAGGGUCUUCUCCAUCGUCGCCAUUGUCACCGCCAUCCACAAUACCAUCACCAAGUGGGACCAGUAGUAACCCGUUACUUCAGCCUGAGAUUUCAGCAACGGAUGACUCUAACACAUCUCUCAGUCUCAAAACCAGCACCACCUCUGUUGCAAUAUCAGGGCCCAACGAGGCGUCUGUGUCCAACGAGGUCUCUCAGGAUACCUUCUACAAUUCUCAGGAUGAGACCAGCCAGGGAACAAAUGGCGGAGGAGAGUCCAGCGCGGAGGUUCCCGGCUCGUCGAAAUCACAGACCUCCACAACAUUGUGUAAAUGGAAGGAGUGUCGUCAGACUCUGGAGGGGCGAUUCCUUAUGGAGCAUAUACGAGAAAAACACGUAGAAAGCCAAAGAAAUAAAGACGGAUUUGUUUGUCUGUGGGAAGGGUGCAAAGUGUUCAAUAAGCCCUCAUGCUCAUACAAUUGGUUGGAGAGGCAUAUACUGCAUCACAGCGGAGACAAGCCUUUCAAAUGCAUUGUGGAUGGAUGUGGAAUGCGCUUCACUUCACAGACGGGUCUAGAACGCCAUGUAAAUAGUCAUUUUACCAUCAUAACCCCUAGCCAGCCAAAAACACCUCGCUCCAGCGACAACACUCCUACCAAAAUGUUGAAAAAGAAGAAGACACGGAGAAAAAGACCGUGGUUUAUCAAAACUGCAGAUUUCUUUGAUUCAUGCUCCAUGGUUGGCAUCAAGCAGCAACUGUAUCAACUGGAGCAGAACACCCACCUGGACACAAUGGGGGCUGGCAAUACUGUAACAUUCCACAGUACUGUAAGUACAGCAAUAAUAUCACAAUACUGUAACAUUCCACAGUACUGUAAGUACAGCAAUAAUAUCACAAUACUGUAACAUUCCACAGUACUGUGAUAUGUAGAAGAACAGAAGAGACAGGGAAGGUGAAGGUCCUGCUUCGUUGGAGUCCUGAAGAUGUAUUACCGGAUGAAUGGGU
rnacentral:misc_RNA from 1 species